rnacentral:rRNA from 1 species
UACGUAGGGGGCUAGCGUUGUCCGGAAUCAUUGGGCGUAAAGAGCGUGUAGGCGGCCCGGUAAGUCCGCUGUAAAAGUCAAAGGCUCAACCUUUGAAUGUCAGUGGAUACUGCCGGGCUACGAGUCCGGAAGAGGCGAGUGGAACUCCUGGUGUAGCGGUGGAAUGCGCAGAUAUCAGGAAGAACACCAACGGCGAAGGCAGCUCGCUGGGACGGUACUGACGCUGGAGACGCGAAAGCUGGGGGGAGCAAACCGG